GACGAACGCUGGCGGCGUGCUUAACACAUGCAAGUCGAACGGAAAGGCCCUGCUUUUGUGGGGUGCUCGAUGGGCGAACGGGUGAGUAACACGUGAGUAACCUGCCCUUGACUUUGGGAUAACUUCAGGAAACUGGGGCUAAUACCGGAUAGGAGCUCCUGCUGCAUGGUGGGGGUUGGAAAGUUUCGGCGGGUGGGGAUGGACUCGCGGCUUAUCAGCUUGUUGGUGGGGUAGUGGCUUACCAAGGCUUUGACGGGUAGCCGGCCUGGGAGGGUGACCGGCGACAUUGGGACUGAGAGACGGCCCAGAGUCGUACGGGGGGCAGCAGGGGGGAAUAUGGCACAAUGGGCGGAAGCCUGAUGAAGCGACGCCGCGUGCGGGAUGACGGCCUUCGGGUUGUAAACCGCUUUCGCCUGUGACGAAGCGUGAGUGACGGUAAUGGGUAAAGAAGCACCGGCUAACUACGUG
rnacentral:rRNA from 1 species